UGGGGAAUAUUGCACAAUGGGCGCAAGCCUGAUGCAGCCAUGCCGCGUGUAUGAAGAAGGCCUUCGGGUUGUAAAGUACUUUCAGUCGGGAGGAAGGUGGUAAGGUUAAUAACCUUAUCAAGUGACGUUACCGACAGAAGAAGCACCGGCUAACUCCGUGCCAGCAGCCGCGGUAAUACGGAGGGGGCAAGCGUUAAUCGGAAUUACUGGGCGUAAAGCGCACGCAGGCGGUCUGUCAAGUCGGAUGUGAAAUCCCCGGGCACAACCUGGGAACUGCAUUCGAAACUGGCAGGCUAGAGUCUUGUAGAGGGGGGUAGAAUUCCAGGUGUAGCGGUGAAAUGCGUAGAGAUCUGGAGGAAUACCGGUGGCGAAGGCGGCCCCCUGGGCAAAGACUGACGCUCAGGUGCGAAAGCGUGGGGAGCGGACAGG
rnacentral:rRNA from 1 species